CGUUCUGCGCAGUGACGUCAUUUGGAACACAUUCCUGAUUUAAAACAUCAACACUUAGAUGUCGAAUUGAUGUAAGAUUGAUUAGUGCUGUUUUCCUUCCUUCGUUAUAAAUAGAUGGUUAAAGAUAUCUUGACUACACUCGUGCUUGUCAACAGUUAUUAAAUGUCACCUUCAGUGCCACGCUCUUUACUAUGGAGACACGGAAUUAAUGUCCUGAAUCAAGCAGAAAAUAAUCCAUUUUCAGACAGUGGGAGAUAGAGGACUCAGUUAGUAUUUCAAUUUGAGGAUUUCUUCAGUGCCUGAUCUGAACCAUUAUAAGAAGAAAAUGGUAAAAACUGAUUUAAUAGUUCCUCCAUAAAAUAAAACUAGUUAUUAUUUUUUC